UAACAUAUGAAAUGGCCUACUUUAAGAUGGUAAACGAAGUGAAGUGUGUCAUAUCUAGCUUAUAGAGUGGAUUGUGUUUACAACAUACAUAUACAUACAUCAUGUCAUUAAAAUGCUAUAAAUAUGCAGAGAAUGAUUUUAGAGUAACAAAUGAAAUGAAAAAGGACUUUGACAACGAUGGAUAUGUUAUUGUCAGGGGACUUCUUUCAAAUGACGAAGUGAAACACGUUGAACAUGCACUGAACGUUCCAAAAUUCUUGGAACACACAUAUGCAGUAUGUUUCUAAAAACUAAUUGAUAAUGUAAAUUUGAAAAUAACAACAUAGACUUUUCUUUUAAAUAAGCUUCUUCAGCUGACAAAGAUAUUUACAUAUAUACAUAAUUAUAAACAAUACGAGGGUGUUCGAAAACUUUUGCAAAUGACAUGUUUUCUCCGAGAUAUUAAUUAAAAGAUCAUAAUAUUUUGUUUAGUUACCUUCGAAAUAUUUCCCUUUAGCCAGAACACAUCAUUUCAGACUUUUAAUCCAAUGCUUGAAACAAUUUUCACACUCA